ACGUCAACACUUUGUACGUUUGACUAUAGUGAGUGGAGUCUGUCUUCACCCAGAAAUUAGGCUGCUGUUCAUUCCUUUUCUUCAUUUGAUUUUAAUCAGAAAUUCUACUGCAACUAUAUGUAUAUCUUUGCAGGUUAAAAAUCAAACUGUUCUAAAUCAUGUGGUUGGAGUUCAAGUGGGGAAUAGAGCAUUUGAUAAUCUGACAGACUCUGUGAUAAUUGUAUUUAACAAAUCAUCACCGGUAAAGGCCAUUCCAAAAUGUGUCUUCUGGGAGUUACAACAAAAUGGGAACACAGCUGAGGGUCACUGGAACGAUUCCGGCUGCACAACACAAAACACAGUCAAUGAAGUCAUCUGUCGAUGCAAUCACCUGACUUUCUUUGCGGUCUUGCUG